UACGAAGGGGGCUAGCGUUGCUCGGAAUCACUGGGCGUAAAGGGUGCGUAGGCGGGUCUUUUAAGUCAGGGGUGAAAUCCUGGAGCUCAACUCCAGAACUGCCUUUGAUACUGAGGAUCUUGAGUUCGGGGGAGGUGAGUGGAACUGCGAGUGUAGAGGUGAAAUUCGUAGAUAUUCGCAAGAACACCAGUGGCGAAGGCGGCUCACUGGCCCGAUACUGACGCUGAGGCACGAAAGCGUGGGGAGCAAACAGG
rnacentral:rRNA from 1 species